AGCAGCCGCGGUAAUUCCAGCUCCAAUAGCGUAUAUUAAAGUUGUUGCAGUUAAAAAGCUCGUAGUUGAAUUUCGGGAUCAAGUCGUCGGUCGUGCCUUGGUACGCACUGGUGACAUUGGUUUCUCCUUCUGAAGAACCUUGAUGUCAUUAAUUUGGUGUCUUGGGGAAUCGGGACUGUUACUUUGAAAAAAUUAGAGUGUUUAAAGCAGGCUCACGCUUGAAUACAUUAGCAUGGAAUAAUGAAAUAGGACGUUUGAUUCUAUUUUGUUGGUUUCUAGGAUCGACGUAAUGAUUAAUAGGGAUAGUUGGGGGCAUUAGUAUUCAAUUGUCAGAGGUGAAAUUCUUGGAUUUAUUGAAGACUAACUACUGCGAAAGCAUUUGCCAAGGAUGUUUUCAUUAAUCAAGAACGAAAGUUAGGGGAUCGAAGACGAUCAGAUACCGUCGUAGUCUUAACCAUAAACUAUGCCGACUAGGGAUCGGAUGAUGUUAAUUUUUUAAUGACUCAUUCGGCGCCUUACG
rnacentral:rRNA from 1 species